CAGGGCCACGGACGGUCCAUCACUCUAAUUAAGAACAACGGAGAAGGUGACCUUCAGUUUUCCGUCGCUAAAGACCCAGUGGCCAACGUGUGGACCGACUCGGUACCUUGAACAGACACAUGGGAGCUGUGCGGUGCUUCGACUGUGACUGUAUCCUUUAGUGUUAUUUAGCUCAGUCUGCUGCCGUGUCUUCACAAGUUGAUAUCACUAAUAAUUAGUGAUAUGAAGGCCCUAACAUUUCCUGAGUAGCGUCAAAAAAAUAUAACCAACGUGAAACAAUACACUCAAUA